CACUUACUGAACUGGGCUGGAAAGUAGGAUGCUUCCUCAGACUUUGCUCUGCUUGCCAGCAGUCAGUCAGCCAAGGCUGUCAUACUGGUGUGGUGACCCUAAUUUGAGACCCUCAGGUGAUGAUUGCUACAAGUUCCGUUUAAGGCAGGAAGUCAGUUCAUCUUCAGAGGGGAACCCUACGCUGCCUUCUGGACCACUGCAAUCCACAGAGCUGCACUUCAGGUCAGGUCUGCUCUGCUCUGCCAUGGUCAUCCAGUCCUGGCUCACCUAACAUCUCUCUGUCCCUCUACGGGCCCUGCUGAUGCUGGUUUGUCACAGUGUCUGCUGUCAGGAGGCAUUACUGUGGCCUCUGCUCACCGUGGCAAAGAUCAGCGACAUGCCUGGCUAUGCAGCACCACCACCCACUGGGCACAGUCCUAGUGGCCACAAGCCAUUGUGGCCACUUGCUUCACAGGCACUCAGUCCUUCACAGUUGCUUGGGGGAGGUGACAGGCAGCACCGAGGCUGGGUUGUGUGUACAAUGGUGUCUUUCUGUCACUUCUCUUCCCUCUGCUUCUCCAUGCUUCCUACUCAUCUUCCUCUGCCCCCUGCGUGGGUCCCACUAGGGCCCCAGUCCCACAGGAAUGUCACUCCCUCAGAAUGGGUUGCCCACAGGCCUUAGUCCCUCAGUGCAGCCUCCCUUCUGCCAGCAUCGGGUCUCCAUCCAUGUGCCCCACACUGUCGCCUCCCUGUGUCCCUCAUGUUUCUCCUGCCCUCACAGCUGCCACUUGCCCCCAGCAGCACUAACUGGACCAACAUGAGCCAGGAGGAAAUGGCGGCAGCCAGCACCAGGCCACUCACAGCCUCCUCAUGCAUUGGCAUCAGGUGUGCCAUGCAUGUGUCCUGGGCAACUACAGGACUCACAAAAAUAUGUCUGUUUAAAGGGGUUGACUCAGAGAAAUGAAACCCAAACUCCGAAAUCAGCAUGUCUUUUCCAUGAUGACACUGUUUUUCUCAAUUUUCACUGUUUUCCUCCUUUAAUACUGUCACUUAAACAGGAUAUACAAAACACAUUAAAAAAAAAAAAAAAAGAUAUUGCUUACAGUCUUGCAGCUUUUGGAUGUUACAUGAGAAAGUAAAACCACCCUGCUGCUUAGACAGCAAG
rnacentral:lncRNA from 1 species